rnacentral:rRNA from 1 species
UACGUAGGGUGCGAGCGUUGUCCGGAAUUAUUGGGCGUAAAGAGCUUGUAGGCGGUUUGUCGCGUCUGCUGUGAAAUCCCGAGGCUCAACCUCGGGUCUGCAGUCGAUACGAGCAAACUAGAGUGUUGCAGGGGAGACUGGAAUUCCUGGUGUAGCGGUGAAAUGCGCAGAUAUCAGGAGGGACACCGGUGGCGAAGGCGGGUCUCUGGGCAACAACUGACGCUGAGGAGCGAAAGCGUGGGGGAGCGAACAGG